ensembl:lncRNA
CCCCCUCCUUGUUAGAUUCUUAAACAAUGGUCUCUCUUUCAUGCUAGGUCAGAAACCUAGGUGGGUAUGCUACUACUGUGCACGGUGUUAGGCAAUCCAAAAACUCUGUCAGCAGGUCUUUAACAACUCAGUGGUAUUCUCAGUCAGGGUGAGAAAUACUUUUGUGUCAACACAGACCAACACAUAUGAACUCACUCGAUCCCUACAUCUGAGUGCCCCCUGAAGGCACUGUUGACUCUAGUAAAAGACAGGCCAGAGGUUCCCUUCAUCCCAAGUGAGUCCUGAUGACUAGAUCUUCAGCUGGCCUUCACAGAAAAAAAAUAAAAUAAAAAGCAAAGCUAGGGAGACAUCUUUUCAGUCUUUUUUUUUUUUUUUGACAAGGUUUCUCUGUGUAGCCCUGACUGUCCUGGAACUCACUCUGUAGACCAGGCUGGCCUUUAAUGCAUAGAGAUCUGCCUGCCUUGCCUACCUCUGCCUCCCGAGUUCUGGGAAUAAAGGUAUGUGCUACUGCACCUGGUCCCAAACAUGAGAAGGAGAGGAAAAGGAAGAGGAAGAAGUAGAAGAGAAAGAAGAGGAAGAAGUAGAAGAAAAAAGAGGAAGAAGAAGAGAGGUGAGGAGGAGGAGAUGAUAAAGAAGAAACCCACCAAGGAUAUAAAGUUGGCAUCCCACAAAGUGGAUGGUUCACACAGUGCAGAUUUAUUUCUCACACUUUUUUGAGGUUUGUACAAAAUCAAGACACCAUCCAUGUGGUUUCUACCCUUGCCUACAAUGUGUGACACCCUGGGACUCAUCCUCAACGGGACAGGAAAAGACAGAACAAACCCAAUGGCUUCUCCUCAGGCUCACUCCUUGGCCUGCAGGAGAUUGCCUUCUGACUGUUGGAAUGGUCUCUUCUAUCUGCCCAGAAGAUGCUAAUGCUUCUUCCCCUUCCUCCUCUUCACAGCAGGCUCUACAGGGGCAGCUCAGCCUCUCCUCAGUGCUGGGAUUAUAAUUGUGAAUCUACACCUAGCUCUUUCUCACUUGCUGCUCAAGCCACACCAUGCAAAACACCCCUGCCCUGAUUUCUCACUUCCUCAAAUAUACGCUGUUAUAUCCAGAGGCAGUGAAGAGAGAGACCUGCUUCAUUGGAGACAGAUGUUGAAAACACAGCUGCCCCUACAUCAAGACGGACUGCAGACUUCACCCUGACAAGGGAGACAGGAUCUCUGCAAGAACAAUAUAGACUUUUAACCACUAAGCCAUUUUAUUUUAGCUCAUAGGAUUUGUGUGUGUGUGUGUGUGUGUGUGUGUGUGUGUGUGUGUGUAGGGGUAUUUGUUUGUUUGUUUCUUUUUUUUAAGAUUUAUUUAUUUAUUAUUUUAUGUAUGUGAGUACACUGUCCUCAGACACACCAGAAGAGGGCAUUGAAUCCCAUUACAGAUGGUUGUGAGCCACCAUGUGGUUGCUGGGAAUUGAACUCAGGACCUCUGGAAGAGCAGUCAGUGCUCUUAACCUCUGAGCCAUCUCUCCAGCCCCCUGUUUGUUUGUUUCUUGAAACAAAGUCUCUCUGUGUAGCCCUGGCUGGCCUGAACUCAAGACCAGACUGGCUUUGAACUGUCAGAGAUCCAUCUGCCUUUGCCUCCCAAGUGCUGGGACCACCUCCACCACUCAGCAGCUUUUUUUCUUAAACACCAUCUUAUGCAGCCAAGUCUUGAACCUCACUAAUAGCCAAGGACGAAUCUUGAGCUUCUGAUCCUCGUGGCUUAACCUCUCUAGUGCUGAGGCCAUAGGUACUCACACCACACCUGGUUUUCUGCUGUGCAGGGGGAUAGACCCUAGAACUUUGUGAUUCUAGAAAAGCCCUUCACAAGUGCUGGAAUUAGACAUGAGUUACUAACCACACUCUGGGAUUACCUCGGAAUUUUAGCAUGUGAAUUAUUUUGUCUGUGACACACUUGCUAAAGAUCAUUUUCCUUGUCUCCUCUCACCCAGUUCCCUCUCUGUAGAAGCAGACCUAUCAGAUUGAGAGCAAGGGUCACACAUCUAGUCCAUACCUCUCUUGCUGUCUUGUUCUCCCCCUGCCAUGCGGCUCCCGAUGGCUUAAUACUCAUUAUGUAGCCUAGCUGGCCUUGAACUUUCUGCAGUCCUGCCUUAGCCUGUCAAACACUCAUAAUCCUUUUUAAAACAAAUAUGAUCUGGGACCAGAGUGAUGACUUAGCUAAGAGCAUUGGCUGUUCUUCCAG